CUGGGUCAGGAGGAGAAACAGACAGGUUAGUACAUGACAGAUCAGAGGUCAGCUGGGUCAGGAGGAGAAACAGACAGGUUAGUACAUGACAGAUCAGAGGUCGGCUGGGUCAGGAGGAGAAACAGACAGGUUAGAACGUGACAGAUCAGAGGUCGGCUGGGUCAGGAGGAGAAACAGACAGGUUAGAACGUGACAGAUCAGAGGUCAGGAGAAACAGACAGGUUAGUACGUGACAGAUCAGAGGUCAGCUGGGUCAGGAGAAACAGACAGGUUAGAACGUGACAGAUCAGAGGUCAGCUGGGUCAGGAGAAACAGACAGGUUAGUACAUGACAGAUCAGAGGUCAGCUGGGUCAGGAGGAGAAACAGACAGGUUAGUACAUGACAGAUCAGAGGUCAGGAGAAACAGACAGGUUAGUACGUGACAGAUCAGAGGUCAGCUGGGUCAGGAGAAACAGACAGGUUAGAACGUGACAGAUCAGAGGUCAGCUGGGUCAGGAGAAACAGACAGGUUAGAACGUGACAGAUCAGAGGUCAGCUGGGUCAGGAGAAACAGACAGGUUAGUACAUGACAGAUCAGAGGUCAGCUGGGUCAGGAGGAGAAACAGACAGGUUAGAACGUGACAGAUCAGAGGUCAGCUGGGUCAGGAGGAGAAACAGACAGGUUAGUACGUGACAGAUCAGAGGUCAGCUGGGUCAGGAGGAGAAACAGACAGGUUAGUACAUGACAGAUCAGAGGUCAGCUGGGUCAGGAGGAGAAACAGACAGGUUAGUACAUGACAGAUCAGAGGUCAGGAGAAACAGACAGGUUAGUACAUGACAGAUCAGAGGUCAGCUGGGUCAGGAGGAGGAACAGACAGGUUAGUACAUGACAGAUCAGAGGUCAGGAGAAACAGACAGGUUAGUACAUGACAGAUCAGAGGUCAGGAGAAACAGACAGGUUAGUACGUGACAGAUCAGAGGUCAGCUGGGUCAGGAGAAACAGACAGGUUAGUACAUGACAGAUCAGAGGUCAGCCUGGUCAGGAGGAGAAACAGACAUGUUAGUACAUGACAGAUCAGAGGUCAGCUGGGUCAGCAGGAACAGACAGGUUAGUACAUGACAGAUCAGAGGUCAGCUGGGUCUUGGGAGACAGGAGCCGGUCUGAGAUCAGAUCAAGAGAGGGGCAACUCUGAGCUAAAACAGACCAAGUCAG